AGCCUUAAGGUGAUAAUCAUGUCGGAUUGCAAAUUCGAAGGUGUAGAUAGAUCCUCUACUAAGGCUU
rnacentral:tRNA from 1 species